CCUACGGGUGGCAGCAGUGAGGAAUAUUGGUCAAUGGGCGGGAGCCUGAACCAGCCAAGUCGCGUGAGGGAAGACGGUCCUAUGGAUUGUAAACCUCUUUAGGCGGGGAGCAAUGCCGGGCACGCGUGCCCGGAGGGAGAGUACCCGCAGACUAAGCAUCGGCUAACUCCGUGCCAGCAGCGGCGGUAAUACGGAGGAUGCGAGCGUUUACCGGAUUGAUUGGGUUUAAAGGGUGCGUGGGGGGAUUUUUACGUCAGCGUGAAAAUGUCCGGGCUCAACCCGGGCCGGCCGUUGAAACUGGUGAUCUUGAGUGGGCGAGAAGUAUGCGGAAUGCGUGGUGUAGCGGUGAAAUGCAUAGAUAUCACGAAGAACUCCAAUUGCGAAGGCAGCAUGCCUGCGCCCGACUGACGCUGAGGCACGAAAGCGUGGGGAUCGAACAGGAUUAGAUACCCGGGUAGUC
rnacentral:rRNA from 1 species